UACGGGGGGCAAGCGUUGUUCGGAAUUACUGGGCGUAAAGGGCUCGUAGGUGGCCAACUAAGUCAGACGUGAAAUCCCUCAGCUUAACUGGGGAACUGCGUCUGAUACUGGAUGGCUUGAGUUUGGGAGAGGGAUGCGGAAUUCCAGGUGUAGCGGUGAAAUGCGUAGAUAUCUGGAGGAACACCGGUGGCGAAGGCGGCAUCCUGGACCAACACUGACACUGAUGAGCGAAAGCCAGGGGAGCAAACGGG
rnacentral:rRNA from 1 species